rnacentral:rRNA from 1 species
UGGGGAAUAUUGCACAAUGGGCGCAAGCCUGAUGCAGCCAUGCCGCGUGUAUGAAGAAGGCCUUCGGGUUGUAAAGUACUUUCAGCGGGGAGGAAGGGAGUAAAGUUAAUACCUUUGCUCAUUGACGUUACCCGCAGAAGAAGCACCGGCUAACUCCGUGCCAGCAGCCGCGGUAAUACGGAGGGUGCAAGCGUUAAUCGGAAUUACUGGGCGUAAAGCGCACGCAGGCGGUUUGUUAAGUCAGAAGUGAAAUCCCCGGGCUCAACCUGGGAACUGCAUCUGAUACUGGCAAGCUUGAGUCUCGUAGAGGGGGGUAGAAUUCCGGGUGUAGCGGUGAAAUGCGUAGAGAUCUGGAGGAAUACCGGUGGCGAAGGCGGCCCCCUGGACGAAGACUGACGCACAGGUGCGAAAGCGUGGGGAGCAAACAGG